ACUUCUCAGAUAACAAUGUGUAAUAUAUUAACUAGUGUUGAUUUUUUUUGAAAUCCUGCAAUAUCUCUACCCUUUUGUCUGUUCUGCUUUUUAAAAAUAAAAAAAAAAUUUAAAAACUUGCAUAUACUAUUUCAUCCCCAAACUUUCUUGGCAUAUUUUUUCUUUUCCUAAUACAUGGGAUAAGGUCUUUUAGCAAACCACAAGUUACACCUCAUAGUCAGCAUUAAAUAUUGGUCACCAAAAAUGAGUGCUGGCUGGGAAGAAAUUGUUUCAUUUUUCCAUUACUUUCACCUUCAUAAUUUUUCUUUUUAUCUCUCUCCUUGACUUUCCCAAAGAAAUGAUGGGCUGGAGGAGCUCUGUGUUGUGUGGGUAAGCAGAAUACUUUCUGAAAUGCGGACAUGAUGGUGAGACAUUUCACACAACGCUCAGCAAAGCACAGGGAACUUGCAAAAACUUCCUUCAGGUUCAUGAAGAUUAAUGCUCUAUUAUGUUCUGUUAACCUGGGGCAGAAAUUGGAAGUAAAUUUGCAGGCUGUUUGGACAGAUUUAUGUCUACCCCUGAAAUGAAUAACAUCCAUAAUAUUUUAGGAGUGAAUUCAGUGCAAAGUCCACCACAAAGCAUAUGAAGUGACUUCAUAAUAUGCUGCAGCACAGUGAAAUCUCUCAUAAACCCUGGGAGGUCCUGUAAUUACUUCUCAGAUAUGGCCCAUCACCCUUGAAUUAAAGGCUAAACUUCAUAGUGAAUUCAAGGCCCAACUGCAAAUUUGUGUAUCCCUAUGUGUUGGUCAAAUUUCUCCAUAUUUUUGUGUCUUCUUUCGCCCCACUUUCUUAAAUGAACCUGCUCUCUCCUCUGCCCCUCACAAAGGAGAAUCAAGAAAUGAUUAAUGUUACUGGGAAGAAAAUUUGCGUGGUUUCUAUUCUGAUCUGUAUUGUAAGCUGUAUUCCGUGUGCAUUAGCCUAAACUGAAGAAAUUUAUGCAAUGGUAGAGGAGCAUCACCUGACAUUUACUAUAAAAUGCAAACAACAUCCAAUCAAAAGAAUAGAAAUUAAAAUUACUCACCCACCAUAUGUAUUCUUAUCAGGUCUCAUGGAUAUAUUAGAAGCAGGUAAAAUAGAAGCCAUGCUUCUAUUAUGUGAAUAUCAGUAAAGAAAUAUACUGAAAUUUGCUAUUCAAUUAUAGAUUUAAAUAUAAUAAUUCAGAUUUUAGAAUGGCACCUUCACUAAGAGGUGUUACGUUUUCUUCUCAAAUUGCUAAUGGAUCUGUUCACUUAGAAUUUUAAAACCUUUCUGUCAAUUCAAAAACAGCUCCUGAUAUGGCCUUUUAUACCUCAGCCAGUCUUUCAGAUCACCAUGUUCCCAAGAAGAUAAGCUCCUUUGGAAGGGGUGGCAUCCUGUAUCUUUGACCAGGUUGGUUCACUUGUUAACGGAUGACCACAGCACCUUUCCCUGACGUGUGACAUUUGUCCCAACAUGCGUCUUAUGAGGAUGCUCAUAGCAGUCGGAACCAAAUGUUCCAGCCUUAACUGGGGUCUCCAGUAUAAGCUUCUCCACUUCCUGGUGAUAGUGAUUAUUGGAAAACUCCAGACCCCUUUUGGUCCAUCUUGACAGCCAGUAAAGUUUUCAGAAUGGAAAGGAAAGAGAAUAAGGAUAUCUACGUCAGGAAGUCCUGGAACCCUAAAUCUUGUUAUUACUGCUUUUAGAAGGAGACAUUCACACUUCUGUCCGUUACCACACAAUCCCUGAGGAAACUUAUUUUGGAAAAGGUAAUGAUGCUUAUGAGGCAAAGUCAUCCAGAAUAUGUGUAUUGCCUUUUUAACUUGGGACAGUGAUUCCUGUUUGUUCUUUGUAAAUAUGUCUCUGACCUUGUGACUCACCUCAAGAUGCGCUACCUGUUGCUUUUUCUGAACAAUCACUGGCAAUUUUCUCAACAUAUCCACCAAGUGCCAAGGGAACCUGCACACUUUUAUUUGGUAUUCCAUGUCCUGUCUCUCCAUUUAUCUUGAGGAUAUAGUAAGGAGGAUCACCAAAUUCCAGUCUGGCAUUUACCACUGCCCCGGGAGGUGGAAAUGUUAAUUAGAUAAGUGUUAGGUAAUUAAUUACUCCUGUGAAUUAAUUAGAAUAACUUAUCUGUUUCCAGUUCAGGUUCUGCCAGUCAAUGACCUUGGCCCUGAGAGAAUGCCAGAGAAUACCAGGUAAAUCAUACAGCCUCUGUAACCAACUCCCCCAGACAUUAAGACGAAUGGUCAUCAUUUGAGUGAAAUUCAGAAUAGUCUUAUGGGUUUAUAAAAAUAGAGUAUUAAUUAAUGUCUUCUGAGCAAUCUAUUCUUUCCAGUUUUCAAUCUUCUAAAGACUCUGACAUUUUUGGCAGGCUGUUUCUUGACUUUUUUUAAAAAUUAUAUUGUAAAAGUCCAGUCACCCUAUCCAGUUGGGAAAAGAUUUUGUUUUUAGAAAGAGUGCACAAGGCCAAUUCAGGGUAAGCCACAGGGUGUUAUGCAAAAAACGCUGUGGGCCAGCAGGGCCACAUGAUUCAACCCAGCCUUGUGGACAGGAGGCUCCUGCACCAGCCUGCCAGAUCCGUGCUCUGCAGCAUCUGGCCUUUGAGGACACACUUCACUUCCCCCUUCUUCCCUGCUGUGCCUCUCAUUCCCGUGACAAGUUUCUCUAGCUUAAUUCUGCUUCUGAACCCCUCCUGAUGUUGGAGUCCUGUUGUGCAGCUAAAUAGCAUUAGGUUUUCCCAUGGAUUGGCAAAUUUCUGUAGAGUCCCUUAGACAUUAAGUGUGGAGUUAGAGCCAUCCCCACCUCCAAUGAUGAUCUCAUCACUCUGGAGGAGCAUGGCUGAGUCUGGAGUGCCCAGAAACUUCCUAGGCAUCUGUGCGCCAGGGUCUGUGAUAAAUCCUGAAAGAGUUUGCAGUUUAUUGUGUCUGCCUUAAAGGAAUCUUCUCUCCAGUGGGGAAGAGUGAUGAGAGAUAAACGUGCCAGACACUAUGUAAACUUAAGGAGAGACACCAAAGUCAGACUGGAGUCUAGGAUGGCGUAAUACCUAGGUUGGGUCCUGAAGAAAGAUGCAACCCUGAAAACCACAUCUGUGUAUGAGGAUGAGCUGAACAUGAGUGACUUGUGCCCCAGAACAAUGUGUAAGUGCAAAGAGGUAACGAAAAGAGUGCCACAGUUAGGGAAGUUUACCAGUUCUAUGAGGUUUUUAUUCUCAAGUAUUUGCACCAGCAUUUCUGAGAUGGAUCUUUGGUAGCUUUCAGUUUUUCAGAUUUCUCUUAUAUUCAAAAAAAUAAAUAAGAGCCAAAAUAUAGUUUCACUAAUUAUAAUUCACUUUAAAUAUUUACACUCCUUGAAUGAAGAUCUUAACUCUCUUACUAAUUCAGUUUAACUGCCAGGCAUGCUAGUGAACUCCUGUAAUCUCAGCACUGGAGAAGCUAAACCAGGAGAAUCACCAUGAGUUCAAGGCCAGCCUGGACUACCUAGUGAACUCAAGUCCAGCUUGAACUAUAUAGUGAGAUCCUGUCUCUAAAACAAUAAAAUAAUAAUAAUAAUAAUAAUAAUUAGCUUAACUGUGCUAUCCAAAAUUCAUUACUGGGUUUAUUAUUUAAAAUUCUUUAAUUCAUCAUACACUGUAAGUUUAAUGGAACACAAAUUUAAAAGUAUGCUAAUGUCUGUCCCUUCUUUCAGCCCAAUCAUCUAUGGAUGCAUGUAGUGGAAUUAUGACCACAUUGCCUCCAAACACCACCACAUCCUCUCAUUCGCAGUCCACUGGCCCAAGGGGUUAAGAACCUUUCCUUGAGGACAUGCCAUAGGUCUUUCUCUUCUCCUGAACCAAUCCCUUUGGAACUGGGACACACACACACACACACACACACACAUACACACACUCCAAGCUCAGUACCCUAGGAACUAGGGUGGGGAAUGCACAAUGAUCUUUCAUGUUAACCCCUUAUUGAUGGGUCUCUCAGAGUAUGAAUGGGGUUCUGCAACCUAACCCUUCCAUUCUGGAUUCCUCUUACUCCACUGUUUGCCACUAUUGACUUGAAAGCACUGCACAUGUGUCUUGAGCUAACUAGUCUGAUAUUAUGCAAAGUAUUUAUUUUUUUCAUUUUCAUUUAUUUACUCAAUAAAUAUUAGCUGAAUAUAAAUUGUAUUCUAAAAAAUGUAAGAAAUGCUGGAAAUAAAUGUAUAAAUAAAACAG